CUGUAUAAUAGGGUGUGAUAUGACCACUAACUGAUCUCCUAGCUCUACAAAUGAGCACAUAAUUAAUGUUAUAUCAUUUGAGAAGUUUUUACCCAAAUUAGGAAAAAGUGAUGACUGAGGAAAAAUAAAUAUGUGAACAGUUAGUAUCUAACCAAAGGAUUAGUAGUAGUAUGUAUCAUGAAAGACUGAAGUUCAGAAGAAACUGAGGAUGAAAACAUGGGUUAGUUCCAACUUGAGCAAGGAAAAAUACUGAGAAAUAAUCCCAUUGAUUAUGGGCAGAUGGUAUAAAGUUAGCAAAAGAGAGAAAGGAAAUAGGAAUCCCCUAUUUUAUUUCUGUCCUCCCUGUCAAAAAGAAUGAUCUUCAGCCUGCAAAGAGUGGAAAAUAUAUUGGGUACGGGGAAAUUGAAACUGAAAGAUAAGUGAACAGAUUGUAAGAGAGUAUCCAGCUUCUCAAAAUGAAUCCACUUUUCUGGACCCAGAUGAACUGUUCCAAGGUACUGAGAGAACUUGUCGGAGAGAGCCCUUGGCUACCAUCAAUAAUCAUUAAGGAGAUAGUAGAGAAGAAUAAAUGUUAUCCUGGUUUUAAAAAGUUUCAGAAUGUGCCUUCAACAAACCACGUCAAACUCUACUUGAUGGCAGGAUGGCAGAAGAGGAUAACAUGUACCAGUUAUCAAUUCAUGCAGCUUCUUCCAAUUCCUGAAAUCCUUUACAUCAACUAGUGCCCCCUCUUGAAGUGAUCACACCAUCC
rnacentral:lncRNA from 12 species